rnacentral:tRNA from 1 species
GACCGAAUGCGGAGUGGACGAACGCGCGGGCCUUGAGAGCCCGUGGCCCUCAUGGGGCCUCGAGGGUUCGAAUCCCUCUCCCGGCGCCA